CCUGUAUAGAGAAGGCCCUGUAUAGAGAAGGCCCUGUGUUGACCUGUAUAGAGAAGGGCCCUGUGUUGACCUGUAUAGAGAAGGCCCUGUGUUGACCUGUAGAGAAGGCCCUGUAUAGAGAAGGCCCUGUGUUGACCUGUAUAGAGAAGGCCCUGUAUAGAGAAGGCCCUGUAUAGAGAAGGCCCUGUAUAGAGAAGGCCCUGUAUAGAGAAGGCCCUGUGUUGACCUGUAUAGAGAAGGGCCCUGUGUUGACCUGUAUAGAGAAGGAGACACAAAUGGCACUUAUUCCCUGUGUAGUGCACUAUGGGUGCACUAUGAACCAUAGGGUUCUGGUCUAAAGUAGUGCACUAUGUAGGGAAUAAGAGUUCCAUUUAGUAGACCUGCUUGGUAUCAUGACAGGCCUAGACUAGUGCUGCUCUGUUCUUCAGAGAGAUCUGGAUGAAUGAUCAGCAGUAAUGGGAGCAGAUGUUUCCCAGUACUGACACUACUGGGUGAUGUUCAUCACUCCUACAACGUGCUGCUGAGGCUUUGUUUUGUAUUUCUAUAGUGGAGCAUCUGCAGGUGCAGUCAAAUUAGAGGCUGUUGACAAGGACCCAAUGAAUACAACUGUAUUGAUACAGCUUUAUGACCCAAUAUACCAGGCAGGUAGGAUCAUAGAACGAUACAUUCUAUGGGAAGAUGGCUUUAUGACCCAAUAUACCAGGCAGGUAGGAUCAUAGAACGAUACAUUCUAUGGGACGGUGGCCCACGGCCUUUAAUUGCCUACAUAAUUGAUGAGUUUAUUUCCAAACACAAUUUUUUGUAAAAACAUUUUUUUUUAUAUAAACCUUUUAUUUAACUAGGUACGUUUUCACGUUUUGUGUUUUUUCAUCAGAAAUGAUUGCUUAUGGGUGCCUUCGUGUGUCUGUAAAAUAUUACUGUUCUUAUUCGUAGAUUUUAGAUGUGUAUGAAAAUGUUUUUUUUUUUUUGCUAAACACUAUACAGGUUAGCUGUAAUGUAAUGUUCAUAUCCUGUAUAGCUGACUGUGAUAUGUGGUCUUCUCACCAUAUCUUAAGAUCAAUGCACUGGAUAAGAGCAUCUCCUAAAUGACUAC
ensembl:lncRNA